AGAACAGUCAAGGAAAUAGGAGUACUCAAAGGUGAUGGGAAACAAAGCAAACCACAGAGGUAGCAGGGAGCCGAGGAAGGUGACAGGGUGAAAUGUUUCACAGUCAGAAACCAACAGAGAGGCAGUUCCUUUAGCAGUGAGCACAGUGCUCUGCACGCAGCAGGCACUCCACGCACGGCUGAACUCAACUCCUGCUUUUUGUGACACCUCUCCUGAUGCUCCCAGUUUCCUCCUGUGUGUCCAGGCACCCCCUGCAGAAGACUGAGAGCAUAGAAGGUGAAAAAAGCGGGCCACGGACCCCACAGAAAUGACAGAGUCACAGCUCAGUCACUCCCUCUAGAACCACCGGGGAGCUCUACGACUGCCCAGGCCACACCCAAACCAACUUCAUCACACUCUGGGGUGCAGUCCUCCCCCUCUUUCACCUCUCACUCUCCAGGCAUCAGGAGUUCGUAAACACUCUCAGGUGGCUCAGGGGUAAAGAAUUGCCUACCAGUGCAGGAGAUGCAGGAGACACGAGUUCAACCCCUGGAUUGGGAAGAACCCCUGGAUUGGGAAGAUCCCCUGGAGAAGUGGAUGGCAACCCACUCCAGUAUUCUUGCCUGGAGAAUCCCAUGAAGAGAGGAGCCUGGUGGGUCACUCCAUGGGAUCGCAAACAGUUGGAUACGACUGAGCAUGCACACUCAAACGUCUACUAAGUGGGAAUUUCUUAGGGCUAACUGGAUUAGACAGUUGGUGGAAACAGAGGCACAAAGUACAUUUUUUUCCCGAUUAUUAUUCUCACAUCACAGCAGGAUUGGGCCCAUGUAGGUUAGCAU
ensembl:lncRNA